rnacentral:rRNA from 1 species
UACGGAGGGUGCGAGCGUUAAUCGGAAUUACUGGGCGUAAAGCGCACGUAGGCGGUUAGGUAAGUCGGAUGUGAAAGCCCUGGGCUUAACCUGGGAACUGCAUUCGAUACUGCCUGGCUAGAGUAUGGGAGAGGGAAGCGGAAUUUCCGGUGUAGCGGUGAAAUGCGUAGAUAUCGGAAGGAACACCAAUGGCGAAGGCAGCUUCCUGGCCCAAUACUGACGCUCAGGUGCGAAAGCGUGGGGAUCAAACAGGAUUAGAAACCCCGAGUAGU